UCUAAAAGAUCAAAACACUCUUAAGUAUUUUCCUGCUCCUUCCUAUUAGACGUUCACGGUCUCUUUCAUGCAAUCUCACCCGAUCAUUCGUUUCAAAAUCAAGCAAAACUCGAAGAAACGAGACAAUCAUCGAACCUGUGCAAUUCUCACUGAUCGAGCGCGACUUUAUGAUAACUUCGUUUUUGGCUUCGAUGCCGUUCCGGCCUUCGUCCGGCAUUGGCGGCUGCUCUUAUUUGCACGUGACUUUGGAGUUUUCCGAUCGCAAGAUCACGACAUAACAAACGGAUUUCCGCGACAACUCAACGACGAAAUUCGUAUUCGUCGUCGUCGUCGUCUACGCUCGUAAUUUGGUAAACGUCGCACGAUAAGUAAACUCUGACUGUCUUGUUAACCUUUGACAGCUUCGAGAUAACUGCCAAUCGUAUAGUCAAACAGUUCGUUUUUAACUAAAACAUGGUUCAUUCCAUGGUCAAAACGAUCUUGAAGUUCCCAAUUAUUCAAAAGAAACACCACCUUGAUAGUUCGACCAACCAACGCCAUGUUGAAUAGGUCGCUAUGAAUUUUUUACGACGUCUUGACGAAUUUCACUCGCAAAAUGAGAACGUAAUCAUCGCUCGCCGUUGAAAUCCGGCCCCACCGCGAAACACGAGCGCGACACAUGGCGAAAUUACGCCUCUCCGAUAAAUUUUAUCUCGCUUCUUAUCGAAGCGGAACACCUAUUACUACUAUUCUUAGUUCUGUCUCGUUAUUGGCGCUUCGCGAGUGUCUCGGCAAACAAGCUUUACGAUUGCCUUCGUUUCCUGGUUGGGAAACUAAACAGGAGAGCAUUUUAAACAAGCUUGUAUAAAGGAACAUCUACUAGACAUGUGUCGAAGUCACGUUCGAGGAAAGAUACGGAGCACGCUCACCUAAAAGCGGGGACAUGGGAGAUGGUUGGACCUCGUGAUUCCUCGAGAUGAACG